rnacentral:rRNA from 1 species
GACGAACCGUGCGAACGUUGUUCGGAUUCACUGGGCUUAAAGGGCGCGUAGGCGGGUGCUCAAGUCUGUGGGGAAAUCCUCCAGCUUAACUGGAGAACUGCCAUGGAUACUGGGUGUCUCGAGGAACGUAGGGGUAUGCGGAACGAUUGGUGGAGCGGUGAAAUGCGUUGAUAUCAAUCGGAACUCCGGUGGCGAAGGCGGCAUACUGGACGUUAUCUGACGCUGAGGCGCGAAAGCUAGGGGAGCAAACGGG